CAGUAGCCGCGGUAACACGGAGGGUGCAAGCGUUAAUCGGAAUUACUGGGCGUAAAGCGCACGCAGGCGGUCUGACAAGUCAGAUGUGAAAUCCCCGGGCUUAACCUGGGAACUGCAUUUGAAACUGUCAGGCUGGAGUCUUGUAGAGGGGGGUAGAAUUCCAGGUGUAGCGGUGAAAUGCGUAGAGAUCUGGAGGAAUACCGGUGGCGAAGGCGGCCCCCUGGACAAAGACUGACGCUCAGGUGCGAAAGCGUGGGGAGCAAACAGGAUUAGAUACCCCAGUAGUCCCUGUCUCUUAUAA
rnacentral:rRNA from 1 species